rnacentral:rRNA from 1 species
UGCGCAGGCGGUUUUGUAAGACAGAGGUGAAAUCCCCGGGCUCAACCUGGGAACUGCGUUUGAAACUACAAGACUAGAAUAUGUCAGAGGGGGGUAGAAUUCCACGUGUAGCAGUGAAAUGCGUAGAGAUGUGGAGGAAUACCAAUGGCGAAGGCAGCCCCCUGGGAUAAUAUUGACGCUCAUGCACGAAAGCGUGGGGAGCAAACAGGAUUAGAUACCCUUGUA